rnacentral:rRNA from 1 species
ACGGGUGAGUAACGCGUGGGAAUCUACCCAUCUCUACGGAAUAACGCAUGGAAACGUGUGCUAAUACCGUAUACGUCCUUCGGGAGAAAGAUUUAUCGGAGAUGGAUGAGCCCGCGUUGGAUUAGCUAGUUGGUGGGGUAAAGGCCUACCAAGGCGACGAUCCAUAGCUGGUCUGAGAGGAUGAUCAGCCACACUGGACUGAGACACGGCCCAGACUCCUACGGGAGGCAGCAGUGGGGAAUAUUGGACAAUGGGCGCAAGCCUGAUCCAGCCAUGCCGCGUGAGUGAUGAAGGCCCUAGGGUUGUAAAGCUCUUUCACCGGUGAAGAUAAUGACGGUAACCGGAGAAGAAGCCCCGGCUAACUUCGUGCCAGCAGCCGCGGUAACACGAAGGGGGCUAGCGUUGUUCGGAUUUACUGGGCGUAAAGCGCACGUAGGCGGACUAUUAAGUCAGGGGUGAAAUCCCGGGGCUCAACCCCGGAACUGCCUUUGAUACUGGUAGUCUUGAGUUCGAGAGAGGUGAGUGGAAUUCCGAGUGUAGAGGUGAAAUUCGUAGA